ensembl:ncRNA B0432.16 ncRNA
UGGGUCUGCUAAAUCGAAAUUUGUAGUUUGUAGCCUAGCAGACCAAAUUCAUU